CAGCAGCCUGUCUCAGGGUCCCGUUCAGCCCUGGAUGAUGCGUGGACGGCACUAAGGGGUGGGGGAUGGGGGUGGGAGAGGAGGGGCUUGGAGCACACGGGAGGACCUCGCGCUGGGAAAACCUCACAGGCCAGCGGUGGCCAGUCAGGGACGCCCUCCGGAGAGGCUGGCUGGGCCCCAGCCCCGUCGGCAGACUCUGCCUUGGUUAUGUGAAAGGGUCAGAGCUGGCAGAGGGCGACUCCCCUGGCCCUCGGAGGGUGGGCUCCAGGGUGUCUCCCUGCUGGAGCAGAAAGCCUGGAGACCCAGCCUCCUGCACACUCACUCACACACUCACACAUGCAUGCACACACACACACAUGCAUACACUCACACAUGCACACACACAUGCACACCCCCACACACGCAUGCACAUGUGCACACACACAUGCACACCCCACACAUGCACACAUGCACACCCCCACACACGCCUGCACACCCCCACACAUGUGCACACACACAUGCACACGUGCACACCCCCACACAUGCACACGCACACCCCCACACAUGCAUGCACACGUGCACACCCCACACACACAUGCACACGUGAGUCCCUGGCACACACCCCCACACGCAUGCACAGUGCACACACCCGCACACACAUGUGCACACACACGUGCACACACCCCCACACAUGCACACGUGCACACACCCACACACGUGCACACAUGCAUGCACACGUACACACACACACGCACACACAUGCACACGUGCACACACCCCCACACAUGCACACGUGCACACCCACACACACGUGCACACACACAUGCACACGUGCACACCCCCACACACGCGUGCACACCCACACACACAUGCCCGUGCACACCCCCACACGUGCAUGCACACCCACACACACGCAUGCACACACCCACACACCCACACACACGUGCACACCCCCACCCCCACAUGCACACGUGCACACACACAUGCACAUGUGCACACCCACACACACGCAUGCACACGUGAGUCCCCCGGCACACCCCACACCCAAACCUUCCACACACUCGGCUGCUCCUCUGGGGAUGCUCCCAGCCGCCCUCGCCCAGCAUCCCCUGACCUUGAGUGCCUGCGGCUGUGCACGCCCGCCGGCUGGGCCUUUGCCUCUUCUCCGGAGACCAAGUUCUAGGCUGAGCCUAGAUGAGCUGAUGAGGGUGGGAGGAGGCACCUGCUUAUUGCUCGUCCCCACCUGCAGCUCCCCAUGCUGGGCAGGAGAGAGCCCAGACUGGCCCUGCCACCUUCCACUGCUGUCUGUGAGAGUCCCCAGCCCUGCCUGUGCCCAGGUCCCAGGCUCUGUGAGGAGGGGUCCGGCCCCAUCUGCCCCUGCUGCCGCCUCCCCACCCCCACCCUGGCUGCAGCACACAACAGAAGAGGAACAGCCCUUCCCCAAACUGCCCAACCCUGGUCCAGCCCUGGCCGUUGCGGCCAUGUGGGGAGUGAACCAGCAGAUGGAAGACCUCUCUCUCUCUCUCUCUCUCUGUGUGUGUGUGUGUGUGUGUGUGUGUAAGUCGCUUUUCAAAUCAAAUAAAUAAACAUUAAAAAAAAAAAAAAAAACAGACCAGGGCUGCCUGGGCCCCAGCCCCAGGGAUGCGGCUUGGUUGGCCUGGCUGCAGCCUGGGCUAAGGCGAGCUGGAGAACUCCCCACGUGACCCCAGGGUGAGGCCACUGGCCCGAAAGGAAGUGACUCCGGCCAGCACUGUAACAGAUCACUGGGCGUCGUGUGACCAAGUGGAUCAGGGCCCAGGAGCCUGCUAAGCCUGACCAGCUCCCACCGAAGUCCCUGCUGCUGCUCCUAGGGCCUGCAUC
ensembl:lncRNA